rnacentral:rRNA from 1 species
GAAGGGGGAUGCAAGAGUUAUCCGGAAUCACUGGGCGUAAAGCGUCUGUAGGUGGUGAUGCAAGUCACUGGUGCAAAACUCUGGCUCAACCGGAGGAAAGCCAGUGAAACUGCAUGACUAGAGUGUGGGAGAGGUAGAAGGAAUUCCAUGAGUAGCGGUGAAAUGCGUAGAUACAGGGAAGAACACCGGAGGCGAAAGCGUUCUACUGGAACACAACUGACACUGAGAGAAGAAAGCUAGGGGAGCGAAUGGG